ACUUAAAUUGAAGAGUUUGAUCAUGGCUCAGAUUGAACGCUGGCGGCAGGCCUAACACAUGCAAGUCGAGCGGUAGCACAGAGAGCUUGCUCUCGGGUGACGAGCGGCGGACGGGUGAGUAAUGUCUGGGAAACUGCCUGAUGGAGGGGGAUAACUACUGGAAACGGUAGCUAAUACCGCAUAAUGUCGCAAGACCAAAGUGGGGGACCUUCGGGCCUCAUGCCAUCAGAUGUGCCCAGAUGGGAUUAGCUAGUAGGUGGGGUAACGGCUCACCUAGGCGACGAUCCCUAGCUGGUCUGAGAGGAUGACCAGCCACACUGGAACUGAGACACGGUCCAGACUCCUACGGGAGGCAGCAGUGGGGAAUAUUGCACAAUGGGCGCAAGCCUGAUGCAGCCAUGCCGCGUGUGUGAAGAAGGCCUUCGGGUUGUAAAGCACUUUCAGCGGGGAGGAAGGCGGUGAGGUUAAUAACCUCAUCGAUUGACGUUACCCGCAGAAGAAGCACCGGCUAACUCCGUGCCAGCAGCCGCGGUAAUACGGAGGGUGCAAGCGUUAAUCGGAAUUACUGGGCGUAAAGCGCACGCAGGCGGUCUGUCAAGUCGGAUGUGAAAUCCCCGGGCUCAACCUGGGAACUGCAUUCGAAACUGGCAGGCUAGAGUCUUGUAGAGGGGGGUAGAAUUCCAGGUGUAGCGGUGAAAUGCGUAGAGAUCUGGAGGAAUACCGGUGGCGAAGGCGGCCCCCUGGACAAAGACUGACGCUCAGGUGCGAAAGCGUGGGGAGCAAACAGGAUUAGAUACCCUGGUAGUCCACGCCGUAAACGAUGUCGAUUUGGAGGUUGUGCCCUUGAGGCGUGGCUUCCGGAGCUAACGCGUUAAAUCGACCGCCUGGGGAGUACGGCCGCAAGGUUAAAACUCAAAUGAAUUGACGGGGGCCCGCACAAGCGGUGGAGCAUGUGGUUUAAUUCGAUGCAACGCGAAGAACCUUACCUGGUCUUGACAUCCACAGAACUGGUGCCUUCGGGAACUGUGAGACAGGUGCUGCAUGGCUGUCGUCAGCUCGUGUUGUGAAAUGUUGGGUUAAGUCCCGCAACGAGCGCAACCCUUAUCCUUUGUUGCCAGCGGUUAGGCCGGGAACUCAAAGGAGACUGCCAGUGAUAAACUGGAGGAAGGUGGGGAUGACGUCAAGUCAUCAUGGCCCUUACGACCAGGGCUACACACGUGCUACAAUGGCAUAUACAAAGAGAAGCGACCUCGCGAGAGCAAGCGGACCUCAUAAAGUAUGUCGUAGUCCGGAUUGGAGUCUGCAACUCGACUCCAUGAAGUCGGAAUCGCUAGUAAUCGUAGAUCAGAAUGCUACGGUGAAUACGUUCCCGGGCCUUGUACACACCGCCCGUCACACCAUGGGAGUGGGUUGCAAAAGAAGUAGGUAGCUUAACCUUCGGGAGGGCGCUUACCACUUUGUGAUUCAUGACUGGGGUGAAGUCGUAACAAGGUAACCGUAGGGGAACCUGCGGUUGGAUCACCUCCUUACCUUAAAGAA
rnacentral:rRNA from 1 species